GACAGAGGGGGCAAGCGUUGCUCGGAAUUACUGGGCGUAAAGGGCGCGUAGGCGGCCUGCUAAGUCGAACGUGAAAUCCCUGGGCUCAACCCAGGAACUGCGUCCGAUACUGGUUGGCUUGAAUCCGGGAGAGGGAUGUGGAAUUCCAGGUGUAGCGGUGAAAUGCGCAGAUAUCUGGAGGAACACCGGUGGCGAAGGCGACAUCCUGGACCGGUAUUGACGCUGAGGCGCGAAAGCGUGGGGAGCAAACAGG
rnacentral:rRNA from 1 species